GAUAUUUUAUUGCUUGCAGCAUUAUUGCAGCAUCAGAUCUGAAAGUGCUGGAUCUGAAGAUGAUCUACUUACUGUGAAUGUUUUUUGUAUGACUGUGUAGAGAAGAUGAAUUAUUGAAACACUUCCCACAUGCAGUGCAGUGAUACGGUUUUUCUCCAGUGUGGAUCCUCUCAUGUGUUUUCAGGUCUCCUGACCGACUGAAUCUCUUGUCACAGUGUGAACACUUGUAAGGUUUCUCUCCAGUGUGGAUCCUCUCAUGUGUUUUCAGGUAUGAAGACUGAUUGAAUCUCUUGUCACAGUGUGAACACUUGUAAGGUUUCUCUCCAGUGUGAAUCAUCUCAUGCUGUUUUAAAUGGGCCGCUGAAAUAAAAGUCUUUUCACACUCAAAGCACAUGUACUCUCUCACACCAGUAUGAAGUUUCUGAUGUUGUUUCAAACUUUGUGGCAAUGUAAAACUCUUU